GUGAUGUCCAUGUGUAGAGUCUUCUCUUGUGUUGUUGGAAGAGGGUGUUUCCUAUGACCAAUGCAUUCUCUUGGCAAAACUCUAUGAACUGCUGCCCGGAUUUAAAUAGUUUUUUGUAUAAUCCAUUUCUUAAUCCAUAAUCUAAUCUGUUCCUUUGAAUUAGGCAUUAAUCUUUUUCUAAAGAAAUAGUGCUUAACAAAAUUAAAGGUUCAUCUGCUAACCUCAAUCUUGAGUCUGGGAAGUUGUAUAAAUCAUAUGCGUAUCUGGGUAAUCUGGUAUGGCCACCCUUCAUAAAUGGGUUUGCAUAGAUAUUAUGAAAGAAAGAAACAUUUAAAUUGGGGCAGGAUAACAAAAAUUAAGAGCACUUGGGCAUGAAUAGAAGGAAUGUUCAGUAUGUUUCAUUGACUGUUAGAUACAUGGGAUUUCACAAGACGUUUAAAUGAGAGGAAAUGGGCUCUCUAGAAUCAGUGAAAUACCAUAUUUGUGAAUGCAGAAGUUUUCAGUCAAGGUCAUUAUUUCUGGAGUAUUGAGUUGUUUCCUGUGAAAAGAAAACAGAGAUGCGUGUUUAUCAUUGAUCUUUUUUUUUUUUUUUAGGUCACAGUGGGACAUCUUAUCUGAUUAUUUGAAUUGUUUUCAGUCUGGUGUCUACCUUCUGUUUUAGAAUUCCCAUUUACUUAAUAUUUAUACCCGUGUCACUAAAAAGGGCCUUCAGGAAAGCAUCUUGUGGGGAAGGCCAUCAAACAAGAAAACAAUCUAGUAGCAUUCUUGCAGUUUUAUUUAGGAGAUUCUGCCUUCAGGAAAUCAGAGAUCGGUGGUUUCCUUAAGAUUGAUGCCUCCACUGCGCCUGCCGAGCACUGGUCCGUCUCUGUGUCCGCAGUCAGGCUGUGCGGUGAGGGAGCAGGACUGACCCUGAUGAUACAAUCAGGUGCAGGUUUACAGGGUUCAUGGUAGGGCCAGAUCAUAUCCCUUGACUUUUAAAAUCUGUUGUUUUGAUGGGAAGUUCUGGGUUCAGUUUGUGUCUGCUAUUUUUCAAGUUUGAAGGCCCUUUCUAAAUCUCAGCUUGCUUAUCUGGAAAUCACAUAAUAAGAUUUUUGUUGAGAUAAAACAGUGCAGUGCUUUUGAACCUGUAAGGUGCUGUUGGAGUGUUAGGUCCAGCUGUUCAUUAAUUCUCAUGUAUAUUAAGAUGUUUGGGUUUGGUUGUACCUAUUUUUAAAUGUGAAAGUAGCAGUUUCCUAUUUUUUCCUGACCUCCGCCUCCUCUCACCCAGGUCCCUUCCAUGGGGGACCUGGUUUUUCUGUUAUUAUUUAAUGAUCUUUCCCAUCCCUUGCUCUUGGCUCCUGUUUCUUUCCCGGUGUAGAAUACCUGUUUCCCCUGCGUUCCUAUCUGGAAGAGCCUGUCUACAGAGCCCAUCCUAUCUGCAGAGCCUUCCGUAAGCUGAAGUGGUGUGAAGGCAAGAGGCAGUUGCUUAAGACGCAUGUUGCUGAGGAGGCACAGAGGAGCCGAGAAUAAAAGCCACCCUCAUUCCAGGGGGGAGUGUAACGUUUACAGUACCUUUCAAAGUCAUUAAGAGUUGGACUACUUGAAAAGUCUAGAAAUUGAAGGAAAAAUUGAUAAAAUUAGGUGGUUACCUAACAGAAUGCUGCUUAUUUUCUGCUCUCUACAAAUGAUAAAACUGUUAACGUAUGGGAAAUAAGUGAAGGGGAUAAAAGAGCAGAAGACUAUAAUUUAAAACACGAAGAUGGACGACUCUGAGAUCCGUUUAGAGUCACGGCACUGCGGGUACAUAUAUUUUUUUAACUAUCCGGUACUUGUCUUGAAUUAGUCAGUGGCAGCGCUCAAGUCGGCUGUGCAGACAGCGCUGUGCCGCGCACAGAAAUGCUGUGAGGCCUGCCUUCCCGUGAGUGUCGGCACAGUCACCUCGUGUGCUGUGGAGUGGGGGUCCUUAUUUUCACAAAGACGAAAAGUCACACAAUGCUACUGAAGAAAAGGCUGAUUUAAUUCCACAACAGGUCUCUCUGAGUGCAUCUGCUGUCUUUCCCUCCGAGGUUCGGUGUAGCUCGGUCGGUGGGGAUGGAGCAGGUGGCGCUGAGCGCAGUUCCCUGUGGGAAGCUGACCUGCAGACAGGCAGGGAGGCCUCCGCCAGGUUUCCUCUGAGCCAGCUAGGGUAGAGCCUGACGUCCCGGAAUUCUUGGCUCAUCAGUCCAUUAGCAUCAUUGCUAGUUCUUUUUUCAUAAAUAAAUUCUUCAGUCCCUUUUUGGUGUGCAUAGGUACGCUGUGAAUGGCCAUAUCCAUUCUGAUAUCUUAAUUUUUCAUCACAUUUUGACAUCUGUGAAAUUGAAUAAAACUUAAAAUCUGGUAUUUUGCUGUUGGCCUAGUGAGGACCCCAUGGAUGGUGUCUGUAAUAAAAUGAAGUGUGUGAAGGAGGUUCAACAAGCUUGAGUCCUGCCCUGGUGAGACGCUGGGGUGCUGCCUCGGGCCAGGCGGCCCGCCCACCCCGGAGACCAGCCCCGACACCGCCUAGAGUGCCCCUCAGCCGCCUGCCUGGGUCCCCUGAGCGCCGUGGGCCGCGCGGUCGGUCGGUCAGUUCAAGCUUUGUUGGGAGUGGUCUGCCCGGUGAGGGCCCAGUGCGUGAGCACACUGUGGAUUAGUGGCCAAGGAGCCAGAAGAGGGCGGGGUGUGGCAGACAGCCCCCCACGCCUGCAGCAGCCUGGCCCGGGCCCGCCUCCCUCCCGCUCUGCCGGCCGUGUGCACGCAGUGCUGGGCGGCCACACAGGACAGAGGCGCGGCCCCGCCGUGAGGAGGACGGGGGGUCAUGGUAGGUGCUCCCAGGGAGCAGGGUGGGGGACCGUGUAGGUCAGUGGCAGCACCCUGCUUCCAGGAGGUGAGGCAGAGAAAGCUGUGCAGUUGGGUGAAAUCUGGACCCUAAUUUGAACCAGGAUGUUUGGAUCCAAGCAGUGUUUUGCAGGCUUGUUCUCGCACGGUCCUCCUCACCUCCGUCCUACUGCUGUGUCUCGGAGUCUGUUCUUCUGGAUGUGGUUUGCUGCAGAGACCUGCAGUGGACGUUCACUGUGACUUCCAGGGUUUCCCUCUAAAGUGGGAACUUCCCUCUCCCUCGGGGAAGCUCACUGUCUCUGUAAAGGGAAUCGCCUCAGCUCCUGCCUCCAGGGUCGACGCAGAGGCAGUUUUAAACAGUGUGUACGUCAAAGAUUACAGUGCCUGUAAUCACUUCCUUCACACCUAAGCUCUUAAACCUCCUGCCUGCGAGCCCUGCCUUAACCAUGCGCUUCCAGAAAUCGUGGACAGAAGCCAGCCAACAUGGAGGAGCUGAUGGAGGUGGUCACGGUGGAGCCCGCCCCCUCCAAGGCAGCAUGCUUGUCCACAGCGGAGCCUGACCCCCUCCAGGGCAGCAUGCUUGUCCACAGCGAAGCCCGACCCCCUCUAGGGCAGCGUGCUUGUCCACAGCGAAGCCCGAACCCUCUAGGGCAGCGUGCUUGUCCACAGCGGAGCCUGACUCCCUCCAGGGCAGCGUGCCCAUCCACAACGGAGCCCCGCCCCCUCCAGGGCAGUGAGCUCGUCCACAAUGGAGCCCGUCCCCUCCAGGGCAGCGUGCUCCUCUACAGCACCAGCAAGGGGCCCGUCCACCCCGUGCUGCCGGCACGCCGAGGAAGUGGAAACACUGUGUUUUCCGGUUUGGGAAGAGCCCAGCAGUAGGUCCUUCUCAGAAAGCAGCUCCUCCGUGUCCGACGUGAACUUCAGCCACGUGGUCGGUACUGGAUGGGCCGGGACUACCUGUCGGUGGAGGUGUGGGACCUGAACACGCAGCGCCGGCCUGUCGAGACCCACCAGGCGAGGCCGUGGGCGCCACCGCCCCGACCUUCCUGUGCUUCCAUGAGGUCCACGAGUACCUUCGAAGCAAGCUGUGUUCCCUCUACAAUGACUGCAUCUUUGACAACUCCAAGUGCUGCUGGAAUGGCUCCGACAGGUCCACCCAGAGGGACGAGACGCUGGAGGCCUCCAGGGAGAACAGCAGGCCCCAGGCCAGCCUGCAGCCUCGCAGGGUGUGUGCGGGCAGGUAGCGGAAGGGCAAGGUGAGCGUGGGCAGCCUGGACCAGCAGGAAGACCCUGCACACACCGGCACGCGGCCGGGAGUGUCAUCGCCGCGGCCGCCGCCAGCUGCCUGUACACCUUCCAGAUGAGGUCAGCUGCGGCAGCAGAGGCCCCGCGUCUGCGGAAUCGCGUCCUCUCGCUGGCGGAGCACAGGUGGCCGCCUCUCCUCGGAGAAGCCGGGACGCCCUCCUGCCUCAGCGCAGGCUGCCUGGGGUUCCUAGCGGGGACCCCGGCUUCUGCUCCGGGGAGGGGAGCCCUGGGUGUCGCUGCUCAGGUCUGAGCCUGCCUUCCAGACUAGAGACCAGACAUCCACACCCCAGAGAAGAGGCGUCAGGUGCAACCUCUCCUGCCAGCCCUCCUCCUCCUCUGCCGUCAGCCGGCCUCCACCCACACGGCUCCGGCUGCCACCCGCCCGCCGGCCUCGGCGGCUCUGCGUCCGGGUCUCUCAGGCAGCUUCACUCCGCUGCCCCGGUAUCCACUGUCACCCCUUCUGGGGCAACCGCUUAGUAAAAGAACGCACUGUAAAGAGUGUUUUUAAGUCCAAAAUAGGCAUCGUCUUUUUAUUUGCUUUCAUUGCACAUAACAAAAUUAUGCAGAAUUAAGACUUUAAAACUCUUUUAUCCUUCACUGACAGAAUGGUGGAAUGUGUGUAGUGCUUGAGGCUCUGAGCGUAUGUAUCCCCAGUUCUGUAACCUUCGUUUCUGUAGAACUGGUACCCCUGACCCACCAGGUGAGGACUGGACAAAGCCUUAACAGAGAGAAAAUCACAGGGAGGAGUAACAGGACCGCUGCCGAGAAGCCAGCUCGGGGUUUAGAGCACACGACAGAUGCUCUGCAGUUGAAGACUUUUGUGCUUUUUCUAAAAUUUGUUUAAAAGUACUAGGUGCAGGGUGGGGGGAUAACAUACUUUUUUAAAAUAUUAAAAUUAUACCCUAGAUUUCACACUUAAAGGCAGCGAAAAUUAAAGCAUUUUAAUUUCUAUCCCUUGAUGGUUUGUUUUAACAGUAGGAUCUUUGGUAUCAGAAAUCAAGAUUUCCCCCCACCCCCCAAAAAAACAGAGGUAACAGUAAGUCACUGGAGCUUGCUCUGUGGAAUUCCACACUGGAGCCGGGGCCCCAGUCUUCUGGGGGGCCGGCGGCUGGACCCAUGCACUGCUCAUGGAGUCACUGUGGUGGAGGAGGCCCCAUCAGCGCACAUUUCAGUUGCAAAUUGAGAACCAAACAUAUUAGGUUCAAAAUGGGUCAGAAAGCAGCGGCGACAACUCGCAACAUCUACAGCGCAUUUGGCCCAGGAACGGCUGACGAACAUACAGUACAGUGGGGGUUCAAGAUUUGCACAGGAGACGAGAGCCGUGGAGAUGAGGGUGUAGUGGCCGGCCAUCAGAAGUUGACAGCGAGCAAUUGAGGACCGUCAUCCAGGCUGAUCCUCUAAAACCACACGAGCAGUUGCCACGGAAUUCAGUGUCGACUAUUCUACGGUCAUUCGGCAUCUGAAGCAAAUUGAAAAGGUAAAAAGCUCACUAAGUGGGUGCCUUGUGAGGUGGCUGAAAAUUUUAAAAAUGGUCGUUUUUAAGUUGUCUUUCUUCUCUUACUGUAUGCAAAACUUAUGAGCCACUUCUCGGUUGGAUUGUGAUGUGUGAUGAAAAGCGGAUUUUAUUCAACUGGCAAUGACCAGCUCAGUGGCUGGACUGAGAAAAAGCUCCAAAGCACUUUCCAGUCACACUUGCACCAAAAAAAGCUCAGGUCACUGUUUGGUGGUCUGCUGCCCCUCUGAUCCACGACAGCUUUCAGAAUCCCAGGGAAACCAUUACUUCUGAGAAGUAGGCUCAGCGGAUCAGUGAACACCAAAAACUGCAGCGCCAGUCAGCACCAGUCAACAGAAAGGGCGCAGUUCUCCACAACACCCGACCGCAUGUUGCACAACCAAUGCUUCAAAAGUUGAACGAGUUGGGCUAUGAAGUUUUACCUCACCCACCAUAUUCACCUGACCUCUCACCAACAGACCACCUCUUCAAGCAGCUCAACAACUUUUUGCAGGGAAAACAUUUCCACAACCAGCAGGAGGCAGAAGAUACUUUCCAAGAGUUCAUCAAAUCCCAAAGCACAGGUUUUUAUGCUAUAGAGAUUAAUUAUAAUGAUUUAUUGCUCCUUGGAAGAAAAACUAUGACCAGCCUAGGUCGCAUAUUCAAAAGCAGAGAUGUUACUUUGCCAACAAAAGUCUGUCUAGUCAAAGCUAUGGUUUUUCCAGUAGUCAUGUAUGGA